UAAUAACCUGCUCUCAAGAUCUUCCUAGCCAUAGCAUGCCCAUUGGCGUGCAUUCCUAACGAACCCUCGUGGACUUCCUCGAUCAUGUGGUUCACCUCUUUGGCAUCCACGCAUCGCAGGAGAGUCAUGUCAUGAUUUCUUUUAUAUAAUAUGCUCCCGCUCAUGAAGAAACCGGUCGCUAAUCUCCUCAAUGUCCUUUUAUCAUUGUCAGAAGCCCCCG
rnacentral:lncRNA from 1 species